AUUAAAUAUUUUUCCUCCUAUGUAAAUAUAUCUUUUCCUCUUAGUAUAGUUAUAAAUAUAAGUCUAUAUUUUUUUUAACUUUUAAAUGUCUAUGUUUAAUAGAUCCCUCAAACAAACAGAACCAAAAGAUCAAUAAAGGUAAAAAUGAUAAAAUCCAGAAGAAAUACAGAAGGAAUUCAGGUCAGACAUUUUUCACGAUUUGACCACAAGGGCCCCCAAAUAGUUUGUGAUUAGUAAUUGAGGUGAUCAAUUGUUUUACUAUAUGGAAAUACAUAAAUUAAGAGAAAAAUGCAAUUUGUUUUUAUUUCUAAAGUUCUAUAACAUUUUGUGUGAUAGAAGUAUACCUUUGAAAGAGUUAUAGUUGAUGAACUGCUAACUUUAAAAAAAAUGGCAAAAUGCAUAAUAAUAUAUAUAUAUAUUAUUUGCAUAUAUCCAUGCAAAGCCCAAACUUGCAUAGCUCCUGUAGCCCUAAAACUUAGCAAUAGUUCAUCAACAGGACAAUAAGCGAUUUGCAGCACAUUCUAACAACGGCGUAUGACUUAGCCAUACAAAAGAAUAUGCUAUUGCUUCAGGCGACAUGGAAGACUCAGCACAAUUGUAUUGACUGAGUUUUCAUAACUGUAGGAAAAAUAACAGACCAGGAAUAAAAGGCGGGGAUGGGGUGAGCACAACCCAUUUUUGUAUUUUCAGGAAAUUCAAACUAAUCUAUAGCAACCAAAAGUAGACCAGGCAGAGCGUGUUGGCAGAAAGCUCUAGGACAAGGGAAUUGUGGGUAAUACAUGUUUAUCUUACUGGUGAUAGAUUCACAGGUGUGUACACAUGUAAAAAUUUAAAUUAUGCAGUUAAAUAUGAGCAGAUAUGUAUAUUUAUCUCAACAAAUGUGUUAUAAAAAAUGAAAGCUUCAUAGACAGAAUAAAUGCAUCAAGUAGUCAGAACACAUGGGAACCAUUAGCAAAACCAAUCACAAUGGGUAUUGGUGUUACUUGGGACACUGGGACCUUUUACAGUUUUGAAGAAUUUGGAGAUUCCAAGUAUCUUUUACAUUCACUUGCUGAUGUUUAUGGCUACGGGUUUAAUUUAAAACAUUUUCCUAUUUUUUUGAUUAAAAUCAGUAUAUUUCUAAAUGUAAAGAAUAAGGUAUAUUUUGAUUCGCUUGAAAUGCUCCAAAACGUGUGACUUAGUUCAGCCAGCAAAACCAGUGUCUUAAACACUGCUAAGCAAUCAUGUGAGGCAAAGAAAAGUUAAAAGAUACUUUCAUCUUGAGAAAACAGGAUCAUUCCACAAAGUCUUUCAUAAUCGUGUUUGUUGUAAGAUCAUGCAAUGGCUAAUCCUGGUGGUCAGCACGGCACAAGUUGAAGAACUCCUUCCAUCUGAUUGUCCGUAGACAUGUCUGUGGGCAUUUUCCUGAUGGCUCGUUCAUACAGGAAUCCACUGUGGGCAGUAACAUCCCUACACAAAUGGGUCUGGGCUACAUAAAAAGGAUAGAUGAAUGUGAGUGAGAGAAGAGGUCAGUAAGCAUCACUCGGCUAUGGUCUCUGUUUCAGUUUCUGCCUCAAGCUCCUACCUUGGGUUCUCAGCAUGGCUUCCCUCAACAACAGGCUGUAACCUGUGAGAUGAGCUAACCCCUUCUCUCCCCAGAUUACAUUGUGCUAGAAGCUUAUCUUAGACCUUUUGGCCAACACCCUCUGCCUGGCCUACUUUCUGUUACUAUAGAUUAGUUCGAAUUUCCUGCGAUACAAAAAUGUCAGUUUUUGUCACAGUAACACAAUGCAAACUAAGACACACAUCCAAAGAUUUUUCUUUUCAUUUCCUUCCGAGGGAAUAUAAGUAAAACACUCAGUCACUCAGUCAGACAGACAGACAGACCCAGACCGACAGAGUGGAAGUUUCCCUGUGGAGUGCUUAUAGAAAAAUAACAUAUUCUCUGCACAUGUUUGCCUCAGAUAUAUGUCUUGUAAAUAAACCCGUUUUAAUUGUUUCAACAAAAUUGUGUUGGAAUCGACAUUAAACUCCGCAUUAGCUUUUGAGUCUCUUCUGGAAUAGAACAUGACUACCUGAGUCCCAUACCAAAGUCCUUUCAUGGCUCAGUGUGAAGGACAGAGAUGACUCCAGGUCACCGUUUGUUUUUUCUAAUUGUAUUACAGAUAAUUCCCUGUUUACUUAUAAUUAAGGUUUUGGAUACAGAGCUUGAGUUAGAUCAGUCCUCAUCUUAAGGUGGGGAGAAACUGUGAGUUCCAGUCAAGAUACGUGGGGGAAGACAAUCGCUUUAAUUCAUAUGUCAGUAAAGGAGAACUAACAUCCAGUGAGGAGGAUACUGAUGUGUUUGGUGUUACCUGGAAGACAAAUGUUUUCUGCUUUGACACAUUGCGAUUUCAAUGUAUUGCUCUGAUUUUACAGUCAUAUUUAUACUCAAUUAACAGAAACAUCCUGAAGACUAUUUAGAUCGAACUACUUAUUAAUUUUUUGAGUGCCCUCUCCUCAUUUUGGCCAGAGGUGGUCCUCUCACACCCUAGAGUACCGAGCAUAAGAUCUGCAGUGGGAAAGAGUGCUGUUGAGAAUGGUCAUGGGUACCCUAGUGCUGAGAUUCAGUGAACACUUGCAUUUGAAGCUUUCUGCACACCUAGGACUAUGUCCUCCUCUGCACGUGUUCCUUUUCCCCCCCAAAAUGGAGUUUCCCCAACAGAAAGACAAAAUCAGCUCCUCUCCUUUUGCUUUUCACUUUUCCCCUGCUUGGCUUUCUGUCUUUCUUCUCCCCCGCUUUUUUUGAUUAAAAACAUGAUUUUAUUGGAAAGCUAAAGAGCUAUAAACCACUGUGUGAUUGCAGCACAAACACCAGAUUUGUCUGGUGUGACUCAGGCUCUAAUUUGUUUGUUUGCUUUGUUUAUUUUUUCAAAAAAAAUCAGCUUAAUAAACAGAGUCAGUGAAUGGCUUCUAAAUGAGCUAGGAUAUGGGAUACUUGUCAACACCAAAAAUUUUAACUUGAAAAUGUGGGAAAAAAAAACAACUUGUCUUUUCAGAAGACACCUGAAAACAUAUUACUGGCCAAGACACUCAUAUAGUAUCAUUAAGUACUACCCACACACCUAUUCUCCAAAACUAUAGUCUUCCCUUGAGCCCUCACAGAUCCAUUAGUGUAAAGUCACUUUUUAAUUUGCUGUUAUAAGUAAUUGCAAUGGAUUUAUUAAUUGAUGCAUGAUAUAAUCAUUAUUAAUUACUCUUAACUUCAUAGCAUUUCAUAUAAUAUGCUUCAUAGCUCUUUAAUAUCUAGAGAGAUAGAAUUCAGAGUAAAUCCCAAGGACAAUGGACCCACAAAAGCAGCUAUGAGCUGAAUUAGAACAAAGAAAUUGAAGUUUGUAGCACUUGAAAAGAAAAAACUAAAUGGCUUCUCUAAAGACUCAUGGUCAUUGCAUCAGGUCUACUUGCUUUAAAUCAGGACAAUAAACACAACCUCCAACCCCACAUUAUACAUUGUCAAUGUAUAAUGCACUAGUCAAUGACAAUGAGUAUGUUUUUAAACCUGUGUAGAUUGUAAUGUUAGAGAAGAUAAAUACUAUUAUCUCUUAUUGCUUAUAUUUUUUCAAAAAACUAAGAUUUGGCAAAUCUUCAGUUCCAAAGAUUGAUUUACAUAGAGCUGAUGUUGAGCAGAAAACAAAGCUUCCCUUUAAUUAUUAGAAUAGUUUUGAAUUUGCCCAUCUGUAUGUACUUGCUUUCCAUAAAAUUACAUCAUUUGCUGUAUAUUAUUCAUUGGUCACUGAUUAUUUUUGUAAGGUGUUUACUAUUCUGUCAUAGCCUCUCUCUCCCUCCCUCCCUCCCUACCUUCCCUCCCCCCCAUCUCUGGUAAGCAGAACAACUUGCAUAGAUUCUUGUUUACACUAAAUAAAAGUAUAAUAUAAGGGGAAGCAAUGUGGCCUAAAGAAAUAUCAAAAGCUAAGACAGAUAGUUCAGUAUGAGAUAAAAAUGAGUUCUUUACUUUAAGCUCCCUUAGAACGAAGUAGAUAAAGAAAAGCUAAAAGUUACAUAGAAGUCAACUUAUUUCCUCCCUAGUCACUAACUAGCUUAUUCAGUUAUCACCCUCAGGUGAUCGAAUUACGGUUCAGUACUACACAUACUAAUACGGUACAACGUUUUAACAUGUUAUUCCUUUUCUGAGGCUCUUGGCCUCAAGAAGGAUGCUGUUUCCAUAUGUUAAGCAACUGUGUGCCUGGUUUAUUCAAAACGGUCUGGGUAGAACACGGGCUAACCCUUAACUACUUGCAUGACAGAGGGAAGAACAUUGCAUCAGACUAGGAAAUGUCACAUAAUUCUGUCUGUGAAAAAUUAAAAUGAAACAAUAAAGUUUAGAAAAUGAGGUGUUUUGACGAAGCUUACAAGGGCCUCUGCUGCCGCCGCCUCAUUUGUCAGAAAACUUGAUAUCUCCUCUUUGCUUGCUGUUAUCCAGCUUCUGACACUGCAUGGAUGACUCCUGGGAGUCAGAGUUUGUUGUUAUCCAUGACCAACCUUACUCUUCUCUCUGUAUCCCAGUCUCUGUUGAGCAUGGUCUGCCAGUCUCACCAUGGAGCUCAUCUCUUAACGUUGUGAUCGGUCAACUCAGAAACAGAAGGGGAAAUUUAUAUUUUAUACUUAGCUGAGCAAUUGAGGAUUCACUUUAAAGCUGUUCCAUAAAGUGGCCCAGGACUAUAUGGUUCAGAGUUGAGGGUACGGCAAAACCAUAAAGGUGUGAUGCUUCAAAGAUACUGAAGAGAAACUAGACAGGAUUUAAUAGUUUUUGUGAUGCUAAAUUUACAGAAUAUGGGACAGAACUGGAGACAGAAAAACGCAGAGCUUUGCCCUCACAAAGAGAAUAAUUAUAUUUUAUUAUUUUAUAUUUUAUCCUAUUAAGAAUUAAAAAACAUACCUUAUAUGUGUUUGUAAAAAGGUUAAGUAAAUUAUUCUACCUCACACAUCUGUCCUGUACCUAUUAUUUCUAAGUAUUUGUGUUGAAGCUCUUUCCAGGGACCAAUCUCUUGGGCAGGAAGAGAGAUGCUCCUAAGAAAAGACAGGCAAGGAGUGAACACUCCUGCCCAGACUCACUCUGGUUCACUCUAAAGGUCAACCUCAUGGUCACACCCACCUCACCUUUCCCCUUAAGUCGCAGUGACCACUGAGUGGCCCCACCAACCCUUGGGGCCCAACAUUCUUCUGUUUUUCAAAGGUUAAGCAACAAAAGAUAUUUACAAUGCCAAACUGUGAUCCAUUCUUGAGAGCUUCAGGAGCCAAGAAGAUGACAAGGCCUGGUGGACCAGCGACAAAGAGAUGCAACAAGGAUAUGUCUCUGGACAGGGAUCAUUUUCUGGGUUUUUCUUUAUAUACAGUGGUAUUUUAAAAGGAAUCAUGAAGAAUUAGGGAAGAUGAAGGAAAAGAACAGUACACGUAUCAGACAACUAGCUUUCAAAUGCAUGGAGAAGACCCUUGUGUGGCAGGUUACUCAGAGCCGUGGAGGAUGCAGCAGGGGCAGCUCUUGUUCCAAGAUGUUUGUGUUUCUGUGCUUUGAGGCACCAGACAAGAGAUAGACCCUUUUCUCCUUGUGUAUCUGCAAGCAUAAUGACUAUCUGCAGAGAUGGAAACUUCCCUAGAAAGAGACCUUGGGCAGGGUAAGGGAUGUGUACCAGUGUGUCUAGAUCAUUUUAGGAAGUACAGGCAGCAAAUGUCACAGUUUAAAACUAUCUUCUUUUCAGUUUUUUAAAGUCUAAUUAUAUCAGGAAGAAAGUCUCAGUCUGUUCCUAACAAAGGGCUUUCGAACACUUUUAUCUUCCUUUUUUUAAAGACUCUGAAGAUGAGCCCCAGGCUCAGUGUCUUCAGCAGAAAACUAUAGAGCUAGAGUUUAAUAAUAUUGUAUGGUUUUCAUAAAUUAAAAAUUCAGAUUACCAUCAUUUUAGGUGACAAAUUUUUAAUGGUAGUGAUUCAAAACUUUCUUUUAAAACAUACUUAGGUUAAAAAACAGAAAAGUGAUUUAAAGCAAAUAUCAAGUAAAAGUGAAUGUAGCACUGUAUAUACUGACAUGGUGAAAAUCACAAGACUAAUAAUGCUGGGAGAAGUAAAUCAAAUCUCCUCACUAGAUGGAUUGGACAUCAGAAGCCCAGAGAUGCAGGGAAUUACAAAGUCAGGACUGCUACGCCCAGGUCACCAUCAAGGCAGGGAUGGUAUCCACAGGCUUCUUUCCAAACGGAUGUUAGACUUUCACUUGACAGUAUAAACUAUUGUCUUCAAAAUGGUCUUUUCCUGUGAACAAUAUUCAUUGAGUUCAACUUGUAAAACUAUAAAGCUCUAUCUUCAUCCCCAUGUGAUGCUAAGGCUGACAUGGCGAGGUUAUUUAGAAGGAACCCCAGAUAUUGUAAAAACUCAACCAGAUUUGUGGAAUCUUAGUGAAUGAGAAAGGAAAUGGCAAGAAGCUGUCUAAUAUAAAAUUUUAUUCCAAGUUCAAUGCUAAACAAGGGUUUAUUCUAUGCAUCUUGAGUGUAGUUUGCCAAAAUAAGUAGAAAUGUGCUUUGCUUGAAAAAUUUAAAGUUCUUAGAACUAUUGCUCUUCAAAAAUACACAGAUUCAUCAAAAUACAAAAUUGAAUUUCUAGAAAGAGAAACAUUUAAAAACAAAACAUUGUUGCAAGUACUUAAAAAUAUAAUGAUGAUUGGAGUUGAUCUAGAGGAUUUGUUUUGAUUUUUAUCUGUUUGUUUUGUAUUUUAUUGCAAUAAAAUUUUCAAAAUGCUUGAGAAAGAUGUAGAUGCAGCUUGUCCUGUCCAAGGGUUCACAGCUUCCUAAGUCACUGGUCAUUCCAACCAUAUUAGCAGAACAAUAACUAGACUGUUGAUUAAAAAAAAUUAAUGCUCAGAGCUAGGGGAAGGGGAGGGGAAGGG
rnacentral:sRNA from 1 species